UCGCUCGGUUGGUGUAUCUGGUGCCCGAGA
rnacentral:piRNA from 1 species